GCUUUCGUCGCCACGGAAAUGAUGUCGUGACUGGGGGUAACGGAGAAAAUGAGUAUUUGUACUCCUCUCUGUAUGGCCUUGUGUAAGAUGUUCUGACCUUCCAAGAGGGGCCAUUGAGACUGCAUGCCGGGAUCGAUACCUGUUGGUAACAACCCAACUCUCAUUUGCUGGGAAUGAACCUCGCUUUGAAGCGGUUGAUGCUGAUGGUGUUCACCCCAUCACUGAGCAGUAUGGGUCAGAGUGUGGCUACAUGUUCAGUAUCCUCCCUCUGCCUGGCCAUGCUCAACUCAGAGCCUCCUACUUCUCCUGCCACACUGACAACCAGGACGAUGAGGUGUUCACUUUUAGCUUUAACUUAAUCACGAUUGAUGCGACUGGAGUGGAAGCCACCUACUCUGUGAAUUCAACCUGCUCCCUCCCUCUACCCUGGUCCCCCAGAGAAGUCAGCUGUGAGGAGAACUAUAUGGAGGUGUCAAUGAGGAGUGACGUUUCUUGUCUGUCUGGUACAACGGAUGCCUGGACUGCUACCCUUGCUAAAG